GAUGCACUGAUGACACCUCUGAUAGCACAACAAACAGCUCUGUCCCUCCUCUCAGCCAGGCUUCCCCCGGAUAAUCCAAUUAAAGGGACAUUAAACUGCUCCUCAGCCUCCUGCCAGCAGCAUUGCAAAGUCACCAACACAUGGACAGAAAUGAGGGAAAUGUUGAGGUAAAGGGGUAGUGGGGGAGGGAUGGGAGAAGAGGAGGGUGGGGAACAAGGAACAUAUAACACACAGUUGGAUACAUGUAUGAUAAGACAGACCAUACAUGCAAAGUACAAGCUGACAUUGAAAUUGAUUCAUAGUUUACUGUUAUGGUGUACGGCUCUGGCAUUAAAUAAACUACAUGUAUAGCUGGUAGUAAAAUUCAAACAGUAUGUAGAUGAAAAUAUCAAAGAGUAGUGAGGGCGAUGCAGAGUCGAUUGGUGGAAAUGGACAGCUGGAAGCAGUGGAAGGGAGGAAGAUGAGCAGCAGUGGCCGAACUUUCCUCUGGAAGGCCUUUUCUUUGUCCAUGUGGUCAGCAGCAGACUUCAAUCAAGCUUUAAAGUGCCUUUUCUGGAGGAAGGGCUUCUUGCACGGUAGCCUUUCACCACUGUACAAGCAGCUUUGAAUACUCUGCAUACCUCUUGGUUGACUCUUGACCAUUCUGAUCAAUUGUUUUUCAGCAGAAGGUAGCUUGUUUUUUUUCUGACCGUCACAGUGACACAAUGGUACCAUGCACUUUAUGGUCACAAACAGUGGUUUGCACAGAUGAUUUUGGGAUCUGAAGCAUGUUUCAAAGGUCUCCAAGUGAGUCUUCUGACUAGUUCAAAUAAAUGAUUUGCCUUGUCAGACCUUUGCUGAGCUCUUCAGACUUUCCCACUGAAGUGUUUGUGACUGAGUCUAAUGAGUGUAUCAAAUGGGUCCUAUUAAAAUUGGCUCAGAGGAGUGAGCAGCUGUAGUCUCUCAUAAUCACUCGUGAAAAGUUAAGAGGCCAUGCCACAAAAAUGUCAACAACAUAGCUUUCUACGUCACCAAAAUGUAUCGUUCAAGUUGCUAUGUGUAUAUUACACCAUCAGAUUUUGUCAUAUUUCCAGAAGACCUCAAAUAAAUCUAAGAAAGAACUGAAA